GAGCUGCUGGUCAUGAGGCAGAAUGAUGUAUUAAAAUAACCUUGCAAAUGCUUAGGUUUUCUGAUUAUGAGUCAGUUUGCAUCAAUUUCCUACACAGUACUUUGAAGGCUAUGUAACCUGUCCUUGAAGUAGUAGUAUAUAUCAAAUAAGAUCAACAAGCCACUGCUGCCAGAAAUAAAAGUUGUAAAUGAAGAAUCUCAAAAAUCUAAUUAAUAAAUUAAGGUAAAAUGC